GGAAGCCGAGUGGUUUCCAGAGAAGCACCACCUACUUGCCAUGCCGCUCGCUAGGACGCGAGAUAUAUUAUAUAUAAGAGUAAGGGUCAGAGGAGUGUUUGAUUAUGUAUCCCUGGUCUGGCUGGUCUAAAAAUUGAAAACUAGGAGGCCGAAAGGAUCUGCCAUUACUACCCACCACCAGUUCUUUUAGGUAAACGACACCCGGAAGAUGAUUUGGAGACCAAACAGAUUCUCAAGAAACAUAAGGAAACAUCCGAGGAUAAGGAGGAGACAACCAAAGGAUUUGCUGAUGAUAAUCUCCAGCACAAGUCUGAUCAGGAAGCUGCCGUACUAAAAAAUACGCUCUUUAUUGCCAAUCUCUCUCCCCAAACUAUAAUAUCAGAUAUGUAAGUAGCAUCACCAUUAAAUUCCGCUUUCCUUCUCUGAGCAUGACUGAUAUAUUUUACCCUCCACUUUUACAGAAUCGAUUUCUUCAAAGAUGUUGUACAAG